rnacentral:sRNA from 4 species
CCGGGCGACACGCCGAAUCCUGCCCCGCCCGGUGAACAACAAACCUCAGGGCGGGAGCGGGGGAACCAACCUUCGGGCGUCGAUCACAGACGUCCUCGGGGUGAAGUCGCGUAGCGCGACCGGGUAAAUCCCAGCCCGAACCCGACAGCUAACUUCGCAGGCGUGGGGAGGGGCAUC